rnacentral:tRNA from 1 species
GGGGUUGUAGCUCAGCUGUAGAGCGCUCGCCUAGCAUGUGCGGGGCCCUGGGUUCGAUCCUCAGGACCACA